rnacentral:rRNA from 1 species
UACGUAGGGUGCGAGCGUUAAUCGGAAUUACUGGGCGUAAAGAGUGCGUAGGUGGUUUGUUGCGCCAGAUGUGAAAUCCCCGGGCUUAACCUGGGAAUGGCAUAUGGUACGGGCAAACUAGAGUAUGGUAGAGGGGGGUAGAAUUCCAUGUGUAGCAGUGAAAUGCGUAGAGAUGUGGAGGAAUACCGAUGGCGAAGGCAGCCCCCUGGACUGUAACUGACACUGAGGCACGAAAGCGUGGGGAGCAAAC